CAGCGUUUCAGAUAUUGCUUCUGAAUAUUCUUGAGAGCCUUCCCUGGUAUGACAGUGACUGAGACCCAAUCGAGCAUAUAGUGUUUACAUCCCUCCAGCCUCUUCCCUGGGGGAUGGGGCAGGAAGAGGAGAGGAAAGGAAGCAAGGGAUGAUUGAUGGCUUUUGAAAAGCUUUUCCCUGUGAGGGGAAGGUGUGGUCAGUAUACACAUCUCCAGCUAACAAAGCCCUCCCGUAGGUAGAGCAGAUGUAAGCUUUGUCACCCCUUUGGGGUGACUGCAACACCGUACAGAAAAUAUUUUUCUUGUUUUUCAGUUGAGAAUAGAGAUUUGAACAGGAGAAGUAGCCUGUCGCUGUUCCAGUUUGUACUGCUUUAAGACAGUUCUUCAGCAAUGAGUCUGAUUGUGAUAUCUGUGACCAAGGGGCUGAAACAAGUAAGACUGAAGCACAGAUCGACUGCUCUGUGUGGUGCAUCUCAGGAAGGCAUGAGCACACAGCUACAUUUCUGUCAAAUGAAGCCACAGCAGUUUUCCAUGGCCGUGUUGGGGUGUAUGGGAUCGGGGCCACCGUAUUGUCAGAAAGAGGAAGAGAAACCAAAAGGUGCCUGAUGAUGCAUGUCCGUGACAGAAGUUCUUCUACAGUGUCAGUGAUCAGUCAAUGGUCUGACAGAGCAGUAGCUCUGGACUUUCUUAGAAAUUAGAUUGUCAACAUCAGUGGCUAAUGUAAAUACAGUAAUAUAAACAGUGCAGACUACCAGGAGUGAAGUUGGGAACUCCUUGACUCCGUACGUCCCAGUCUUACAGCCUCAGAACUGUAACGUUUACUAGGCCUAAAUUUCGUGAAGAAACUUAAGAAUUUCCCCUCGCUUCCCAAAAGCUGCCUUGAGGCACUGGAGAGGGCUGUGACCGGAUGUUCCUCCCCCCUCCCCAUCCCUAGUCAAGAAAAACUUAAAGAGAGUUUAAGGGCGCAGUGUUUAUCGCCUCGGAGCGGUCCGCCCGGCCGUCGGGGGGUGCCCG
rnacentral:lncRNA from 1 species